rnacentral:rRNA from 1 species
UCGGGAAUUUUGGGCAAUGGGGGAAACCCUGACCCAGCAACGCCGCGUGAAGGAUGAAGUAUUUCGGUAUGUAAACUUCGUAAGAAUAGGAAGAAUAAAUGACGGUACUAUUUGUAAGGUCCGGCUAACUUCGUGCCAGCAGCCGCGGUAAUACGAAGGGGGCUAGCGUUGUUCGGAAUUACUGGGCGUAAAGCGCACGUAGGCGGAUUUGUAAGUCAGGGGUGAAAUCCCGGGGCUCAACCUCGGAACUGCCCUUGAUACUGCAAAUCUCGAGUCCGAUAGAGGUGAGUGGAAUUCCUAGUGUAGAGGUGAAAUUCGUAGAUAUUAGGAAGAACACCAGUGGCGAAGGCGGCUCACUGGAUCGGUACUGACGCUGAGGUGCGAAAGCGUGGGGAGCAAACAGGAUUAGAUACCCAUGUAGUCCCUGAGCGGGCUGGCAAGGCGCAU